rnacentral:rRNA from 1 species
UACGUAGGGUGCGAGCGUUGUCCGGAAUUAUUGGGCGUAAAGAGCUCGUAGGCGGUCUGUCGCGUCUGCUGUGAAAACCCGAGGCUCAACCUCGGGCCUGCAGUGGGUACGGGCAGACUAGAGUGCGGUAGGGGAGAAUGGAAUUCCUGGUGUAGCGGUGGAAUGCGCAGAUAUCAGGAGGAACACCGGUGGCGAAGGCGGGUCUCUGGGCAGUAACUGACGCUGAGGAGCGAAAGCGUGGGGAGCGAACAGG